GAAAUGUUUAAAUGCAGAAUGAACUCACAAGCAAGAAGAGGAACACCCAAGCUGUCUGAAAUAAAGGAAGAACUAAAACAAGAAUCAGAAACACAUAAGCGAAUGGGUCAGGAAGGCCAGAGUGUGGUGAGGUGGGGACCAUUUUAAUACUAUGUGCCAGGAUAGGAGAUAGAGUCUUUAAACCAAGGGUAAGGACAGUGGGAACCAAGCCUCUGGAUUAAAGCUGGGUGUCUCCAAGGGUCGUAGCCUCAGUGGAAAGGAAGACUUGAGAAGUCCUAAAUGACUUGAGACGAACACAUGGAUUUGCCAAAUAACAGACACUGGCCUGAUGCAGAAGUGCUUCUCCUUCCCCUUGCCCCUGGACCUGAGCCGGAGCUGUCUAUCUACAUGAGGACACCAUCUGGCAACACUGAAAUGUUGCCCUCACUGUAUGCCAUCACCAGGAAGACAAGCAAUAGAUGAUGAGUGAAAAUAAAAUGUUUAGUUGGAAACUAUUUGGGAAUGGCUUUAUGUCCACAUAUGGACACAGCCUGGCUGGAACUGGGGAGAUCUUCCCUUUCUGGUGUCUUUUCAAGGUCUUGAGAUGAGCUCUAACAAAUAUCUCAGGCCAUCUGGCCUAGUUUUUCAUAAUUGUGACUCCUAAAUGUAAACACGGUCCGAGAGAAUAUCGGGAACAAAAAAAAGGCUAAUGAAAUUCUUCUAAUUUAACGGAGUUGUUCUGAGUCUCAUUCAGUUACUUAAACAUUUUUUUCUUUCCUUCUCGCAGUCAUCAAUCCUGGAAAAUCU
rnacentral:lncRNA from 10 species